rnacentral:rRNA from 1 species
ACCACUUCCAAGGAAGGCAGCAGGCGCGCAACUUACCCUAAUCUCGAUUCGAGGAGGUAGUGACAAGAAAUACCGAUGCGGGACCCUACGGGUGCCGCGUUCGGAAUGAGUACGAUUCGAACCAUCUAACGAGGAACGAUCGGAGGGCAAGUCUGGUGCCAGCAGCCGCGGUAAUUCCAGCUCCAAUAGCGUACGUUAAAGUUGCUGCAGUUAAAAAGCUCGUAGUUGAACGUUCGGGUUCCGCGGGACGGGGCCGCCCCGCGAGGGACGGCGCCGCCCCGGGGCUCGUGAUAUCUCAUCUCGCCGCCCGUCGCGAGGCGGACGGAGGGAUGGAUGAGGUUACCUGGAAAAAUCGGGGCGAUCUAGGCGGGCGAACCUCGCCAACGAACGAUCGGACAUGGGGAUAACGGAAGAGGGCGUCGGCUCGACUUCGUCGGUUCCUCGGGCCGAGGCACGUACGGU